rnacentral:rRNA from 14 species
UCCCACCUGACCCCAUGCCGAACUCAGAAGUGAAACGCCGUAGCGCCGAUGGUAGUGUGGGGUCUCCCCAUGUGAGAGUAGGGAACUGCCAGGC